rnacentral:sRNA from 1 species
ACACGAGAGAGGAGGUGGUCCAACGGUGAUUUCGCUCAGGACACGUGAGGUGGCUGUCCGCUAGGACCACCCAUCGAAGAUGGUUGCCGGCUCCGCACACGGCUGACACCGCUAACCCGGUGCCGUAGGCGCGGGCGUGUGGUCGGCGAAUACCAGACAGUCACCCAGCCCUCGGGUCCCCGGGACACAAGUCCGCCCCGGGCCCGGCCGUUUCGGUCGGGAGCCGACCCGAGGGCUGCACCUU